GCUCAAGCAAUUCUCCCACGUCAGCCUUCCAGUUUGCUGGGAUUACAGGAAUGAGCCACCGUGGCCAGCUCAAGAAUCCAUUUUUUAUGCUCACUUAACUUGUUGGCAGAAGUGAUUUCCUUGUGCUGUAUAACUGAGGAUCCCACAUGCUUGCUGUCAUGUGGAGGUCACCCUCAGUUCCUAGAGGCUACCUGCAAUUCCCUGCCACAUGGGCUUGCUCAGCAUAACCCCUUACUUCCUCAAGUUAGCAAGAAGAAUCUCUUACUCCAGCCUAAGAUGGAGACCUAAAUCAAAUAACCUAAACAUGGGAUUGAUAGCCCAUCGUCUUUGCCAUAUUCUAUUAAUUAUAAAUAAGUCACGGGUCCCACCUGCACUCAAGAUAAAGAGGUUACACAGGUCAUAACAAUAAUAUGGCAGUGGGGUCACACCUUACGGUAUGUCUGCCACAGUCAUAUACUACAGGCUGCCUCAUGAAGAACACAUCUGAGACAAAAUCAGGAAAUUAUCAGACAUGUUAUUGAUCCAUUUCUCUUGGUACUUUUGGCUACAUUCUUGAACCAUUUAAGGUUGCCGGAUGACUUUAUAAUUGGACCUGCCAGGACUACCUUUAUUAAAUUGCCCUUUAUUGUUGUGCUAUUCACUUUUAUCAAAGUUCACAUGUAAUAGCAAUAACAAAUUACUAUUGUAAUUAUUGGUCAAAAAAG